CAGCCGCCGCGGUAACACGUAGGGUGCAAGCGUUAAUCGGAAUUACUGGGCGUAAAGCGUGCGCAGGCGGUUAUAUAAGACAGAUGUGAAAUCCCCGGGCUCAACCUGGGAACUGCAUUUGUGACUGUAUAGCUAGAGUACGGCAGAGGGGGAUGGAAUUCCGCGUGUAGCAGUGAAAUGCGUAGAUAUGCGGAGGAACACCGAUGGCGAAGGCAAUCCCCUGGGCCUGUACUGACGCUCAUGCACGAAAGCGUGGGGAGCAAACAGGAUUAGAGACCCCGUAGUCCCUGUCUCUUAUACA
rnacentral:rRNA from 1 species